rnacentral:lncRNA from 1 species
CCCUCCCCUCCUUUCCUCCCCACCCCCCCCCAGCCCACUUGUCCGCGGAGCUCUGUGUUGCUGCCCUGGGCAGCAUGGCCAGGAGGGGGUGGGGGUGGGGUGGCAGGAGCCCCGGGUGGAGAGGAGUUGCCAUCUGCCUGGGCACCCCCUGGAGGGGGAGGAAAAGGGAAAACGCAGGCUCCCUGGUGUUCCCUGCCUGGCCCCCUCCCUCCCCCCUUCGCUUGGCCCUCUCUCACGGGGCACCCCCCAGUGGGGCUUCCUGCUUCCCCAUUUAAAACCACCUGCCUCUCCUGUCAGAGGACUUGGGGUGGCCAGGGGCCUGUCUGGGUGUGGCUCUCGGGCCCCAUGCGUGCCCUGCUCACCAGGGUCGGCACGGGUGGGGGCUACACAGGCCCCGGAGCGCCCCCCCCCCCCAGCCCUGGAUGCCGGAGGCUCCUGGGCACUGCCACAGGCCAUCCUUCAGGACCCACGUGCUGCCGGGCCCCCUGCUGCCACCUUCCUCAGCGCAGCGCAGUUGCGGCCACCCGGCGCCGCCUCCCCCUGCAGGAGGUGGGAAGCCCACCUGGCGGCUGGGAGAUGGCGCCCCUAGAGGAAACCUCCAGAACGGCCGGGGCUCAGCAGACACCAGCUGGACAGACCUGGGGGGGCGGAGCCACCUUGGCUGAGGUCUCCAGGUGAGGGGGACAGGCUGGCCUGGAGCAGGACGGCCCGUCUGGGACCCCCCCCACCCUGGCCCGCACCCAGUCCCGGAGGACCGACCCGCCCAGCCAGGUGCGGGGCCGGGUGCUCCAAGGGGCUCCUGCGCCUGCCCCCGGGCGGAGAAACAAGAUGCCUUCACACCGGCGCGGGGGGGGGGGGGGGGGGGGG